rnacentral:rRNA from 1 species
UGGGGCACGGGGGGCCUACGGGAGGCAGCAGUAGGGAAUCUUCCACAAUGGGCGCAAGCCUGAUGGAGCAACGCCGCGUGUGUGAUGAAGGGUUUCGGCUCGUAAAACACUGUUAUAAGAGAAGAACGGCACUGAGAGUAACUGUUCAGUGUGUGACGGUAUCUUACCAGAAAGGAACGGCUAAAUACGUGCCAGCAGCCGCGGUAAUAAU